rnacentral:rRNA from 1 species
UGGGGAAUAUUGCACAAUGGGCGCAAGCCUGAUGCAGCCAUGCCGCGUGUAUGAAGAAGGCCUUCGGGUUGUAAAGUACUUUCAGAGGGGAGGAAGGCGAUGUGGUUAAUAACCGCGUCGAUUGACGUUACCCGCAGAAGAAGCACCGGCUAACUCCGUGCCAGCAGCCGCGGUAAUACGGAGGGUGCAAGCGUUAAUCGGAAUUACUGGGCGUAAAGCGCACGCAGGCGGUCUGUCAAGUCGGAUGUGAAAUCCCCGGGCUCAACCUGGGAACUGCAUCCGAAACUGGCAGGCUUGAGUCUCGUAGAGGGGGGUAGAAUUCCAGGUGUA